rnacentral:rRNA from 1 species
UACGAAGGGGGCUAGCGUUGCUCGGAAUCACUGGGCGUAAAGCGCGUGUAGGCUGCUCUGCAAGUCGGAUGUGAAAGCCCCCGGCUCAACUGGGGAGGGUCAUUCGAUACUGAUCGACUCGAAGGCAGGAGAGGGAAGUGGAAUUCCCGGUGUAGUGGUGAAAUGCGUAGAUAUCGGGAGGAACACCAGUGGCGAAGGCGACUACCUGGCCUGUUCUUGACGCUGAGGCGCGAAAGCUAGGGGAGCAAACGGG